UGUUCUCUCCCUCCCUUCCUUCCUGCUUUCCUGCCUGCCUUCCUUCCUUCCUGCCUGCCUGCCUUCCUGCCUUCCUUCCUGCCUGCCUUCCUGCCUUUCUACCUUCCUUCCUUCCUUAGAAUCAAUACUGUGUAAUAAUUCCAAGGCAGAAGAGUGCCUCAUACAGUGACCUAGGACCCAGAUGGUGUAACAUUUAAAAGGAGUGGAUGCCUUAAACUGUAGGAGUUAAAAUGGUUGAAGGCUAUAAACUGUAGCUAGACAUGGUUUUGGUCAUAUUCACUGAGAGGAGCAGCCUGCAGACUCUGAGGCCAAUGAUGAUCUGUCUUCCCUAUCCCAGUAAAGGUUCAACUGCAACAAGAUCUAUAUGUUUGUCUAUAAAAAGAUGAUUUUCAGUGAGCGGCCAGAAAAAAGGUUUGGCUCAUUGGGCUCCAAAGUACAGUUCACUGAAGCCAUGCUCACCAUGUUUAUCUUUGAGGUACAGGAAGAUUUGCUUCAGAUUUACAUGGAGCAUUCAAUUGAUCCCAGUGUGAGAAUUACAGCUUUUGUGGUCCUUUUGGAUGCUGUUUGGAUUUUCUUUGACCAUGGGGAUAGGAGAUACUAUGUUAAAGGAGACCAGCUUACAAGGGGUGAGUUUCACUUAAGCUCAUUUGACAUCUUUUUCCAAAAGCAAGAUUCUACUCCUGGUCAAUAUGUAGAGAUAAUUGGCAAAACAAGAAAUCAAGCCCUGUUGCUUUUGUCUUCCCAGCUGUCAAUGAUUACAAUGGAAAAUUUAACAGUGAUAUUGUUAGGUAGGCAGAAAGGAUUACCUGCUGGAAAACUUCCGAUUUCAAUGGAUUUCAAAAUAUUUGGUCAAGAGUCAUUCUUCUUAAAUAUCAACAUGAAGUAAAUGUUUGUUGGCACACAAUGACAACCAUGUUGAUCGAUACCACCAAUCUCUCAGUCUGGUAUUCAGUUACAGUAGAAGGCCUUGCCUCAUUCCCUGCUGAAAUUUGAUGCCAAGAUCAACUGGAAAGAAAAAAAAAACCCUUCAAAUUUGAAAGUCUGCUCUGGUAAAGUUAAAAUGUAUAGCUUUAUUUUACAGAGUCCUCUUUUUCAUAGAAAUAGUGUCUCUAGUUUGGAAGGAACUUUGAGUAGGUUUGUUUGUUUUAGUGCAAAUCCUCUACUUAUGAAAGGCCUGCCCUUGAAACUUCCCAGCUAAAUAAUAUUUAACCUUUUGAAAAAGACCUUCAAUGAGGAGACUAAUUCUAUAAACUAUCCUUGUCAUCUCUUGCAAGGUCUAACAAACUUGUCAGUAAAUUCUUCCUCAUAUUUACUCAAUCUAAAAUAAAGUUUUUUUCCUCUUGCUUUGUCUUGAAAGA
rnacentral:lncRNA from 1 species